rnacentral:rRNA from 1 species
GUUAUAUGGUCAAGUGAAGAAGCGCAUACGGUGGAUGCCUUGGCAGUCAGAGGCGAUGAAAGACGUGGUAGCCUGCGAAAAGCUUCGGGGAGUCGGCAAACAGACUGUGAUCCGGAGAUGUCUGAAUGGGGGAACCCAGCCAUCAUAAGAUGGUUAUCUUGUACUGAAUACAUAGGUGCAAGAGGCGAACCAGGGGAACUGAAACAUCUAAGUACCCUGAGGAAAAGAAAUCAACCGAGAUUCCCUUAGUAGUGGCGAGCGAACGGGGACCAGCCCUUAAGUUGUAUUGAGAUUAGCGGAACGUUCUGGAAAGGACGGCCAUAGUGGGUGAUAGCCCUGUACGCGAAAAUCCCUUUGCAAUGAAAUCGAGUAGGACGGGGCACGAGAAACCUUGUCUGAAUAUGGGGGGACCAUCCUCCAAGGCUAAAUACUACUGACUGACCGAUAGUGAACCAGUACCGUGAGGGAAAGGCGAAAAGAACCGCGGAGAGCGGAGUGAAAUAGAUCCUGAAACCGUAUGCGUACAAGCAGUGGGAGCCCACUUGUUGGGUGACUGCGUACCUUUUGUAUAAUGGGUCAGCGACUUAUUUUCAGUGGCGAGCUUAACCGAAUAGGGGAGGCGUAGCGAAAGCGAGUCUUAAUAGGGCGUCUAGUCGCUGGGAAUAGACCCGAAACCGGGCGAUCUAUCCAUGGGCAGGUUGAAGGUUGGGUAACACUAACUGGAGGACCGAACCGACUACCGUUGAAAAGUUAGCGGAUGACCUGUGGAUCGGAGUGAAAGGCUAAUCAAGCUCGGAGAUAGCUGGUUCUCCUCGAAAGCUAUUUAGGUAGCGCCUCAUGUAUCACUGUAGGGGGUAGAGCACUGUUUCGGCUAGGGGGUCAUCCCGACUUACCAAACCGAUGCAAACUCCGAAUACCUACAAGUGCCGAGCAUGGGAGACACACGGCGGGUGCUAACGUCCGUCGUGAAAAGGGAAACAACCCAGACCGUCAGCUAAGGUCCCAAAGUCAUGGUUAAGUGGGAAACGAUGUGGGAAGGCUUAGACAGCUAGGAGGUUGGCUUAGAAGCAGCCACCCUUUAAAGAAAGCGUAAUAGCUCACUAGUCGAGUCGGCCUGCGCGGAAGAUGUAACGGGGCUCAAACCAUGCACCGAAGCUACGGGUAUCAUCUUUUGAUGAUGCGGUAGAGGAGCGUUCUGUAAGCCUGUGAAGGUGAGUUGAGAAGCUUGCUGGAGGUAUCAGAAGUGCGAAUGCUGACAUGAGUAACGACAAUGGGUGUGAAAAACACCCACGCCGAAAGACCAAGGUUUCCUGCGCAACGUUAAUCGACGCAGGGUUAGUCGGUCCCUAAGGCGAGGCUGAAAAGCGUAGUCGAUGGAAAACAGGUUAAUAUUCCUGUACUUCUGGUUAUUGCGAUGGAGGGACGGAGAAGGCUAGGCCAGCCUGGCGUUGGUUGUCCAGGUUUAAGGUGGUAGGCUGAGAUCUUAGGUAAAUCCGGGAUCUUAAGGCCGAGAGCUGAUGACGAGUGUUCUUUUAGAACACGAAGUGGUUGAUGCCAUGCUUCCAAGAAAAGCUUCUAAGCUUCAGGUAACCAGGAACCGUACCCCAAACCGACACAGGUGGUUGGGUAGAGAAUACCAAGGCGCUUGAGAGAACUCGGGUGAAGGAACUAGGCAAAAUGGCACCGUAACUUCGGGAGAAGGUGCGCCGGUGGAGGUGAAGCAUUUACUGCGUAAGCCCCUGCCGGUCGAAGAUACCAGGCCGCUGCGACUGUUUAUUAAAAACACAGCACUCUGCAAACACGAAAGUGGACGUAUAGGGUGUGACGCCUGCCCGGUGCCGGAAGGUUAAUUGAUGGGGUUAGCGCAAGCGAAGCUCUUGAUCGAAGCCCCGGUAAACGGCGGCCGUAACUAUAACGGUCCUAAGGUAGCGAAAUUCCUUGUCGGGUAAGUUCCGACCUGCACGAAUGGCGUAACGAUGGCGGCGCUGUCUCCACCCGAGACUCAGUGAAAUUGAAAUCGCUGUGAAGAUGCAGUGUAUCCGCGGCUAGACGGAAAGACCCCGUGAACCUUUACUAUAGCUUUGCACUGGACUUUGAAUUUGCUUGUGUAGGAUAGGUGGGAGGCUUUGAAGCGUGGACGCCAGUCUGCGUGGAGCCAACCUUGAAAUACCACCCUGGCAAAUUUGAGGUUCUAACUCAGGUCCGUUAUCCGGAUCGAGGACAGUGUAUGGUGGGUAGUUUGACUGGGGCGGUCUCCUCCUAAAGAGUAACGGAGGAGUACGAAGGUGCGCUCAGACCGGUCGGAAAUCGGUCGUAGAGUAUAAAGGCAAAAGCGCGCUUGACUGCGAGACAGACACGUCGAGCAGGUACGAAAGUAGGUCUUAGUGAUCCGGUGGUUCUGUAUGGAAGGGCCAUCGCUCAACGGAUAAAAGGUACUCCGGGGAUAACAGGCUGAUACCGCCCAAGAGUUCAUAUCGACGGCGGUGUUUGGCACCUCGAUGUCGGCUCAUCACAUCCUGGGGCUGAAGCCGGUCCCAAGGGUAUGGCUGUUCGCCAUUUAAAGUGGUACGCGAGCUGGGUUUAGAACGUCGUGAGACAGUUCGGUCCCUAUCUGCCGUGGACGUUUGAGAUUUGAGAGGGGCUGCUCCUAGUACGAGAGGACCGGAGUGGACGAACCUCUGGUGUUCCGGUUGUCACGCCAGUGGCAUUGCCGGGUAGCUAUGUUCGGAAAAGAUAACCGCUGAAAGCAUCUAAGCGGGAAACUUGCCUCAAGAUGAGAUCUCACUGGAACCUUGAGUUCCCUAAAGGGCCGUCGAAGACUACGACGUUGAUAGGUUGGGUGUGUAAGCGCUGUGAGGCGUUGAGCUAACCAAUACUAAUUGCCCGUGAGGCUUGACCAUAUAACACCCAAGCAAUU